rnacentral:rRNA from 1 species
UACGUAGGGUGCGAGCGUUGUCCGGAAUUAUUGGGCGUAAAGAGCUCGUAGGCGGUCUGUCGCGUCGGCUGUGAAAACCCGGGGCUCAACCCCGGACUUGCAGUGGGUACGGGCAGGCUAGAGUGUGGUAGGGGAGACUGGAAUUCCUGGUGUAGCGGUGAAAUGCGCAGAUAUCAGGAGGAACACCGAUGGCGAAGGCAGGUCUCUGGGCCACUACUGACGCUGAGAAGCGAAAGCAUGGGGAGCGAACAGG